GGAGCAUUCUCUGGUGCCUUUGCAACUGCGCUGACCAACCCUGUGGAAGUUCUGAAGGUACGGUUGCAGAUGAAUCCAAACUUGAGAAGAGGAGCAAUAGGGGAAAUGAGAAAAAUUGCUUCAGAAGAGGGAAUAACGGCUCUCUGGAAGGGGGUUGGCCCUGCUAUGGCCAGGGCUGCUUCUUUGACUGCAUCACUGCUUGCAACAUAUGAUGAAUCCAAGCGGGUUUUGAUAAGGUGGACUCCUCUUGAAGAAGGAUUUUAUCUACAUCUCAUGUAUGGCUUCUAGCUGUUCCACUUCUCCUUAUUAUCUAUUAAGUACUGCA